rnacentral:rRNA from 1 species
GGGACGAGUGGCGAACUGGUGAGUAACACGUGGCUAACCUGCCUUUGAAGUAGGGGAUAACACUUGGAAACAGGUGCUAAUACCGUAUAACAACCAAAACCACCUGGUUUUGGUUUAAAAGAUGGCUUCGGCUAUCACUUUAGGAUGGACCCGCGGCGUAUUAGCUUGUUGGUAAGGUAACGGCCUACCAAGGCAAUGAUACGUAGCCGACCUGAGAGGGUAAUCGGCCACAUUGGGACUGAGACACGGCCCAAACUCCUACGGGAGGCAGCAGUAGGGAAUCUUCCACAAUGGACGAAAGUCUGAUGGAGCAACGCCGCGUGAGUGAUGAAGGGUUUCGGCUCGUAAAACUCUGUUGUUGGAGAAGAACAGGUGUGAGAGUAACUGUUCACAUCUUGACGGUAUCCAACCAGAAAGCCACGGCUAACUACGUGCCAGCAGCCGCGGUAAUACGUAGGUGGCAAGCGUUGUCCGGAUUUAUUGGGCGUAAAGCGAGCGCAGGCGGUUUCUUAGGUCUGAUGUGAAAGCCUUCGGCUUAACCGGAGAAGUGCAUCGGAAACCAGGAGACUUGAGUGCAGAAGAGGACAGUGGAACUCCAUGUGUAGCGGUGAAAUGCGUAGAUAUAUGGAAGAACACCAGUGGCGAAGGCGGCUGUCUGGUCUGUAACUGACGCUGAGGCUCGAAAGCAUGGGUAGCGAACAGGAUUAGAUACCCUGGUAGUCCAUGCCGUAAAC